UAGAAACCUUGAGAAAUAACACGACAGCUGUUGACCACCUGCAACCAGGUAAUUAUACUGUUGGUUGAUUCUUAAAAAUAUCUAUAUAUUUUAUUCGUUAGCUGCAGAUAUAUUUUUUAUAUACAUCUGAAAAGAGGAAAAAAUGCGUUAAAUGUUCCGCAUUAACUGUGCAAAAAAAGCUUUUGCGUUUAUUUAUUCAUUUUAAAUAAAUAAGGCGAGCAUAAUAAAAUAAGAAAUUAGUGGUUGAGUAUAAAAUUUUCUGCAUAUUAUCCAACAGCACGUGACCUUAUAAAUGCAAGACAUGGAGUGUAAAUGUUUGCAGCUGGACAGAAUAGUGCUAACUUCGUCCUGUUAGAUUUGUUGUAGGGUUCUACAAUAUCUGCACUUAAAUCCACUCAGCACACAUUCCUACAUUUAGGGACAAAGACUAAUCAAGUUUACGACUUGCUGAUUAAUCAAAUUUGUCUCUCGUGAUAAACAGGGAGUAAAUAUCUAACCACUAGUUAGUACAGCUUGUUAUAAAAUUAUUUUAUUCGUAUGAUACUAAACUAAAUCAUCUGGAAUUGUACAAACGUCUGAUUUUAGCCACUGCAGCGAUGGCGGUCCUUGUUAAAACUUAUUAAGGAUAAUAAAGUGAAGCCAAAAAUACAAGGUUAUUAGUCUUGUGGCGUAAUCUUGAGUAUUCUAAUUGGAUGGUUGUGCGCGACCACAAGUGGUGGGAAAGAAUAAUGAGACCAUCAGGAAAUAUGCUCCAUUUGUCUUGGGUUGCAGAGGCCAGGCCAUGUUCCUUGGGGGAUACUUUUCCUUUGUAGUGAUGCGAUAUGUUGUGGCUGGCAUUAAUUCAUGCAGUUAUCAAUAGCGGACUUUUCACCUGUAAAUGUUAAGUAAUUGAUAUUCUAUUUCGGCUCGGUAGAAGGUUUAUAAUGUCAUCACCAGCUCUAUUUGCUUUGACAAAUUUUGUUAAUAGUUGCCGAAAAUCAUAUUAGAAAGUUUCUAAACUCUCGACCACUUGAAAUUAAUUUCUCUAUUGACACGUUCGAGCAAAUCGAGAAAAUUUCGUAACGCACUGCCUAAUUGGCCAGGGGCAGCCUCUUUCCUACCUGGUCAAUUCGUUUUAUAUAUCUGAUGGGAAAGGGAUUUGAAUGGCCGGCAGAAUCGCUUGAUGGAGGAGUAAUAUUCUCCUAAUAGUUGUUUUUGACAGUAAUUGGUUUUAUGAGGUCCUGUUAUCGGGAUAGAAGAGUAUUGAGAAGGACACUACAACAAUUCACUCCAGAAGAAAGAUAGGCGAGCGACUAAACGUUCAGCACCUUUGCCGAUAAAAAGUCGGCCUGCACAUUGUAGCCGGCUAGAUAAAUCUAUAAAAAUGACGUCAACCAGUUGAAUUCUUGCGUGUUUUGUGUCCGUCUAAAUUACCAGAUCUAAAAAAAUUCCAAACAGACCAAACAAAGUCAUUUUCAACAGAUGGACCGCUCUUUUGAAAGCCCCCGAGCUGUAUUCCUUUUGGAAAUCAAAGAAAAUUGUUUUUUGCAAAACAAGAAUGGUUGGUCUUUUAUCUCUCUUCUUCGGUCCCCCCUCCUCCAAAAAAGUAUACAAAACUGGAAUGCGUUGAUGGCAUUCUUGCGGAUCCUGUCCAAAAGUCUGUCUGCGCCUAUCGAUUCUUUAUCGACUGGACAAUGUAAAAAAAAGUCACUCUCAUACGCCGAAUUGUAUUUUUCGGACGGGAUCGGGCCGGACAUUUUCGGCCAUUUCAUGCUUGGAUAAGCUUUAAAAGGAGUCGAGUCGAAAUAAACGCAGGAAUUUCAUAUUGUCAGAAUUUAUCACUUUUAAAGUUAUUUCGUCCGACGGCCGAAGACGAGAGGGCAACACAACGAAUGAGGGGAGAAUAAAAUAAUUUAGUGCGGUCACUUCAGUCUGGCAGGUAUUGGUCAUUUAGUAGUUGUGGCUGGCAGCACAAGAGAUAGAUGUCGAGCCAUUCCACACUUUACGAACUGUAUUUCUCCUCUGGCAGCCUCAACAGAUACGUGUGUCGAGUGUGUAAUGCUGAAAAACAACUAUCUGACAGAUUUUUCAACACACCGUAAUUGUAUUUACUGCCGAGAGAAAUAAAUUGGUUGCUGGAGUACCACGCGAUAACCAUUCCAUUUCACUCAAAUAUAAGUGUAUUCGUUACUGCACCGUUGCCACUAUUGCACUCCAGCAUUGACCAUAGUCUUCAUAUGCAAAUCCCACUUUUACUCUGCGGUUUCUUUAGCCUCUCCUGCCGUUUUAUCGGUCUUCGUCAAUAUUUAAUCACCGGCGGAGCCACCCGUAAACGAAUAGUUUAAUUUAUCCAAAUCGAUGAAACGUAACGAUUUUAAUGUCUUACGCCAACUGGCGGGAAAUUUUAACGCACUUUAGCGUUAUUAACAGGGAUGGUCCCUCGCCUAGAUCGUAAGAAUAUUAACGCCCUAUCGACGCAGUUGCGAUUUGCUCGGGUUACGAGCCGUAAAUGUAUUACAAGUGGCGGAUAACUCUGUGUAAACGAUAGCGAGAUGACCUAAUAUGCCCCGACAACUUCGAACGUGGUGCGCUUCGAUUGAUUAAAAAUCGGCUUACAUGACGGUUAUUAAUCUCUCGUAUGGUACUAAACUAUUGGCUUAAGUAGAACCUCAUCAGUUCUGAAACAUUAAAUUUCUCGGCUUGUUCGCGGGUUCGCAUCUGACCAUCUGCUCUAUUAAUCGAUGCAGAAAUGGGAUAAAAAUCGCAACGUUCACGAAAGCUACAAAAUAAUUAGGUUGCAGGUCAGUCAUUUUGCGUUUUUUUUUUAAUAUAUCGGCUUUCACUUUAAAGGACAAUAUCUGAAUCAAUCGGGAAUAAACUCAGUCUGACAUGUUUUGAUAAUUUUAAAAAAUAUUCGAAUCGUCGUCCGUAAUGAUGAUAAAGAGAUUUUAGACCGAUUAGAACUUAAUAUGAUUUUUCUCUUUUAAUUUUUUUUUUAUUUUUUUAGAGUUGGUAUCAAAGACAUUUGUUUCAAUUUUUAAAGG
rnacentral:lncRNA from 1 species